AAGAAUCACAGCAUCCUCAGCAUUUACUCAUUUGCUGAGCACUUUCUGACCUGUUUGUUUUUAAUGAAAAGAAGUUCUGACCAGUGAUUGCAGUAAACAGGUAUUAAUGACACACUUGUGUCAGGGAACUAUUUCUCCCAUUUGGAGACUUUACAAUUGGAGUUCUUAUUAGCUACAGCAUGGGAAUGCCUACAGUCCAGUUUUAAGCAUUCAGAAAUGGACAAUGGUUUGGAAUAGUGAAGCAGUGAGAAGGAGGAAAUCUAUAUCCUUGAAUGACCAUCUGGAGCGGAGCCACCCUGCAGACCAGGCCUCCUCAUCAUUGUAUGAGAGGAGAUUCGGAUCCAGGCACACAUACGGAAUAUCGUGUGAGCAUGAAGAUGACCAUCUACAAGUUUAGGCAAGAGUCCAGGGAACAGAUCCCUCCCUCAGAGCCUUUGGUUGGAACCAAGCCUUACAACACCUUGAUCUAGGACUUCCAGACUCCAGAAAAACUCACCUGGUCCCAUGCUAUGUUAUGCUGCCCAGAUACCAACAACUCAUUGCCAGGCCCUCUGAAACCUCCCAGAUGCCAGCCCGACUUCGAGGACUUCUGCCUACUUCUGGCGUUUAGACUCUGACAAACUUCCAUUGGCAGGCAACACUUCCUCGAGUCCGCUCCCAUGGCUUUCCCACAAGAUGCCCCGGAAGAUCCAUCUAGUUGCCAUGGUUACAGGUCAGUCUGGCUUUGUCCACGUGGUAAAGAUGCAUGCUUCCUACGUUCCCCCUGAUAGGAUCAGAAUUGGCCCUA